GGUGCACGGAUCAUGCAGAAAUUGGGAAAGGGAACAGGAUCCUUUUUAUAUAGUUUUCUCUGAGCAUCGAACAUAGGACAUUAUUCAUUUCCCUCGCGGCUAACGGCGCGCGUCUUUGAUGCUAGGCAGAUGCCAGGCAUGGCCUUACGCCUAAGACUGGUAGCUUUCCCAAGUGAAGAAAGAGACGUGAGACACGGCUGUAUAUACAGUCCUGACGGUAACUACCAGAAGUUUGUGCCAGCUCCACAGGGCAAGGGCACAGUCCCGGGAAGGCCACCCUCCUAAAAUGCCAACUCUAGGCCGGGGAUUUGGCUCAGUGGUUCCGGCUCCUACCUCGCAAGCGCAAGGGCCCGAGUUCGAUCCCCGGUACCAAAAGUAAAUAAACAAAUAAAAUGCCAACUGUAAAUUCAGGGGACCCCAGGCAGACCACACUUCUAUAAAUCAGGGGUCCCCGUGAGUCCUUCAGGCUCCAUAAUUUACUAAGACAACUCAGAGAACCCAGAAAAAGGCUAGUUUAUAAUUGCAGUUACAUUGUGAAAGAAAAACCGGGACCCGUCAAGUGAAGAGACGCACAGAAUAAGGUCCGGUAAGGUCCCUAAGUAGACCUGUCACCUUUUUUAGCACGUUGAUAUGUUUGCCAGGCAGGAAGCUCACCAGCACUUUGGUGUCCAGAAUUUUUAAUGAGGUCUUAUUAUGCAUGCAUAAUUUAUGAAGUCAUUGACCAGGAAAAUGAAUUCCCUGAAGGAGACUGGCUUGAGACCACAGGGCUCAAGUCCCCAACCCUCCAGUCACCGGCUUGGUCUCUGGUGUGACAGCCCAGUUACCAGGAUCACCUCAUGACGCAAUAGAGGCUGGAACAAAGUACGGUGCUAUCCCAGACCUACAAGGAAAGUUAUUCUUAUUGGAAGAGUUGCACCGUGCAUUCCAGGCUGGACUUGAACUCCCAGUGACCCUCCUGCCUCAGUCUCUCAAGUGCUGCCAUCACAGGCGUGGGACCCCGUGUCUGCCGAGCGCGCCCGUAUUCUUGACGGAGAUUUCAAGUUCAAAGUUAGCUCGCUGCUGGAGAGCGAGACUCCCAGGGGCUGCUGAGGUCUGCCAGGCUCUGUGCCCGCACGGAAUGUCCUUGCUCUGAUGUCUGGGUUGGUCUCCUCCCUGGGUCUCCACCCCUCUGCCGUCUAGCUCCUUAGCAAUACGUGGUGGAUUAGUUUUCAAAAUCAGCCACCACCGUAGCUGCCAGCCACCUAGCAACCGCUGCUGGUGCCCUGUCCCUCAAGCUCAGUGGGCCAUGACUCUAGGCCGUUUUCUGAGGCUGGAUCUUAAAACGGGGUGCAGUUUCUACCCAGUGCUCCAGGGAUGCUGGUUAUAGAACCCAGGCGUCAGGCCUCGAGGGAGGGGAGAACACGUGGCUUUGGGUAGCCCCAGACCGGCGAGGUUUCGGGAGCCCAGGCCUAGCUUCUGAGCUAUCCCUGAUGCUGCCAGGUAAAGCAGCCAUCCGGCCCCACCUGGAUGAUGAUUUGGGCACAAAAGAAACCAUGGUGGUCAGGAAGACGGGUGGGGGUGGCAUCCCUGGCAGCUCGAGAGGACGGGAACCCACCUGACCGCCUCACCGUAUGACAGCUGCUCUGUGUCACUCCUUGGUUCCGACCCUUGGGAACUCUUUGCCCCAAGUGUCUUUGGCCAACUCUGAAGAAUGCAAACCUUAUUAAUAAUUCCAGUUUCCUCCUGCUCUAGACAAAGCUUCUUUGGUUUCAAGGCAAAAAAAGAAACCCAUUCAACGGCCCUCAGGAAAAGGGUUUUCACGAAAGGAUGAGGGGGCGCGCAGCAAUCUGGACAGGAAGUGCUGCCCAGCGUGGCCCAAAUGGGGCCCGAGUGUAUUUAUAGCCAGCGCCUGUGCUCACUGCACAGCGUAGUUUAUCUGCUCAUCAAGGCGGAAGUGGGUCCUCAGGCCUCGCCUCACUUCCUGGUCCCUUCCGCAGCAUGGCCUCUGCAAGCCGAGGGGCGCUCGGACCACAGCGCGGGGUUCCAAGUUCUUGCCAGGGCAAGAAGGGCGUUGAGCUCCAUCCGCAACACAGGAUCCCUGAGGAUCCCGGCCGGGGCUCGGGGCCAGGCUGGGAAGCAGGGAGCCCUGUGGCGUGCGGGCGGGUGCCAUGAUGGUCAGUGCCGCGCCCUCUCGGCCGGCCUCCUUACUCCUCCUCGUCCCAGAAAGCCAAGGCCACAAGGCACCGGCGUGGCCUCGAUCCAGGGGAGGGUCGGGAGCAAGAGGGGUGAGAACACAGCUGGCAGGACCCACAGACCUGGGGGUGCACCCGAGGCGGAGGAGGUGCCUGGCCAGGCUCUCAGGUGACCCAGCCCUGCCCAGCCGCGCAGCGCGCAGACUCUGGAAUCCAAAUCCCAGGUCUGCUCGUUUAAAGGCUGAGACCUCCUGGGGGGGUGCAUCCAUCAUCCAGCACUUGGGAGGCUGAGGCAGGAGAAUCACCAGGAGUUC